rnacentral:rRNA from 1 species
UACGUAGGGUGCAAGCGUUAUCCGGAAUUAUUGGGCGUAAAGAGCUCGUAGGCGGUUUGUCGCGUCUGCUGUGAAAACUGGAGGCUCAACCUCCAGCCUGCAGUGGGUACGGGCAAACUAGAGUGCGGUAGGGGAGAUUGGAAUUCCUGGUGUAGCGGUGGAAUGCGCAGAUAUCAGGAGGAACACCGAUGGCGAAGGCAGAUCUCUGGGCCGUAACUGACGCUGAGGAGCGAAAGCGCGGGGAGCGAACAGG